rnacentral:lncRNA from 1 species
UGAUAUGAUUUUGCUGUAAUCAAUAGCCUUCCACACAAACAGGCUGGAAAUAAUAUAGGGUCACAAUGAUUCAAUGAUAGCAUAGAGAAUAAUUCAGCCAUGUUCUACAUGACUUCAUGACAGCAAAAUAAGUGAGUCUUUACCUCACAUAUAGGACUUCAUGAUAGCAAAAUAAGUGAGUCUUUACCUCACAGCAAAAUAAAUGUGAGUCUCUACCUCACAUACAAAGCAAAUAAAAGUGAGUUUGCACCUCACAUACACAACAAUAAAAGUGAGUCUCCACCCACAGCCGAGUUCAUCACAACCACAAACAAGCUCACAGGUCGCUUAAUUUCUUCCUCUUAGGUGUCAUUUUCUUCUUCUUUCCUUUUGCUGGAGGUUUUGGUGGUGGGGUAGCAGCUUGGCUCCUUGUGACAGGUCCAGGACUAGCUUGAGCUGCAGCUUGGCUUCUUGUGACAGCUCCAGGACUGCUACAAGUGGCAUCAUUCUUUCUCCAUUUGGUGCCUCACAACCUACAACAAAAAAUUGUACAGAUCUGAAUGUUAUUACUAUGACAAAAAAUGAAGCAAUAAAAAUAUAAAGCACAAAGGCAAUUACCAUCACGCAAUUUUCAUCCCUUCGCCAACUAGCAGUUAAAGCCCAUUUGCAAGGGUCACCUAUUAUGGAUUGACCUUUGCAAAAAGCACGAAACCUCCCUGGCUCAUUUUUCUUUGUGCCAUAUUCAAACUCUCCAUUGACAGCCCACUGUUUUAAAGCCUUUCUAAAUUCAACCAUGUUAGGAUAAGGUGUCCCUAUAUCCAUGGCUGGGUUUCGUUCAUCCCAGGCAAUAAGUGGCUCCUCUGGAGCAUUAUCAUCAACAACAAUAUCUGCAUCUUUGAUAUCAUGUAAGUCAGACUCCACAUCAGGAGUAGGAACGGCAAUAGAACGAAGCUCAGUUCCUCUCUCAUCCGGUUCUGUUUUUAAACCAAACAGAGCAAACAUGGCUUUCUCGUCCGGCGGUUUUUCAUCUCCAUCAUUUUCUGGUUCAAUCACAAGACUUGACCAAUCAAUAAUAGCACUACCAUUUUCUACUUCAUUGCAUGAGAUCGCCCCCGUGGUUAGGUUUAUCACACUGGAUUGGUUAGAAUCAUGCACAGACAUUGCAUCGAUCCUAUUCAAUAUAGACAGAAAAAAUCAGAAAAAUCACACACCAAAACUCAUGCAUACAUCAAUUAGAACAGGGGAAUAUGAUGUUAUCUUUUCAGAUCCAUCACACCCCUUAGUCAAUCCAGCCCCUCCCACUCAAAUCCCAUGCCAAUCACACACAAGACCUAGGUUUCCACGAUUUAGAAACUAUACCAGAAGAAAAGCACAAAAUCUGUGAAAAAUACAAGGGGGAAGAGGUUGCCUUACCUUGGGCCAGCGAAGGAAGGCGGCGGAUGGGGGGAAACGCGGCGGAGCAGGGCAGCGGACGGCGGGCGCAGCGGCUCUGGCGACUGGCGGCGGGGCGGCUGGCGGCUAGGUCAAGUCGGGGAGGGGAGGGGAGAUAGAAUGAAAAACAGGCCAGGCCUUGGGCCUCGGUCUCGUGAGUUUGGGGAAAAUUGGACGAGGGCAGUUUUGGCAAUUCCAAAUUUGUUAAGUCCAGAUUCUUUCCUUAUGCGCUAAAUCCAGAGAUAACAGCGCU